AGCCACCAGUGAGAUUCGAAGUCGCGACCCCUGGUUUACGAUACCAGUGCUCUAACCUCUGAGCUAUGGUGGC